UAGGGAAUCUUCGGCAAUGGACGAAAGUCUGACCGAGCAACGCCGCGUGAGUGAAGAGGGUUUUCGGAUCGUAAAACUCUGUUGUUAGAGAAGAACAAGGACGUUAGUAACUGAACGUCCCCUGACGGUAUCUAACCAGAAAGCCACGGCUAACUACGUGCCAGCAGCCGCGGUAAUACGUAGGUGGCAAGCGUUGUCCGGAUUUAUUGGGCGUAAAGCGAGCGCAGGCGGUUUCUUAAGUCUGAUGUGAAAGCCCCCGGCUCAACCGGGGAGGGUCAUUGGAAACUGGGAGACUUGAGUGCAGAAGAGGAGAGUGGAAUUCCAUGUGUAGCGGUGAAAUGCGUAGAUAUAUGGAGGAACACCAGUGGCGAAGGCGGCUCUCUGGUCUGUAACUGACGCUGAGGCUCGAAAGCGUGGGGAGCGAACAGG
rnacentral:rRNA from 1 species